rnacentral:rRNA from 1 species
CUAGACCUACGGGGGGCAGCAGUGAGUCCUAUUGGUCCCUUUCCGCCCGUCUGAACCAGCCAUGCCGCGUGCAGGAUGACGGCUCUAUGAGUUGUAAACUGCUUUUGUACGAGGGUAAACCCCGAUACGUGUAUCGGGUUGAAAGUAUCGUACGAAUAAGGAUCGGCUAACUCCGUGCCAGCAGCCGCGGUAAUACGGAGGAUCCGAGCGUUAUCCGGAUUUAUUGGGUUUAAAGGGUGCGUAGGCGGUUUGAUAAGUUAGAGGUGAAAUGUCGGGGCUCAACCCCGAAACUGCCUCUAAUACUG